rnacentral:lncRNA from 1 species
AUAAUCCUUGCACUUACCAGCACGGAGGGCUCGCAGCCUGCUUGCACCUGUGGGCAGCUGGGAGAGGCUGUCUGUCCUUCUGAGGCAGGUGGAGAAGUGCUUGCAGACCCCCGAGGGGAUUC